CAUGCAAGUCGAACGGAAAGGCCCUGCUUGCAGGGUACUCGAGUGGCGAACGGGUGAGUAACACGUGGGUGAUCUGCCCUGCACUUCGGGAUAAGCUUGGGAAACUGGGUCUAAUACCGGAUAGGACCGCACUUUAGUGUGUGUGGUGGAAAGUUUUUUCGGUGUAGGAUGAGCUCGCGGCCUAUCAGCUUGUUGGUGGGGUAAUGGCCUACCAAGGCGGCGACGGGUAGCCGGCCUGAGAGGGUGUACGGCCACAUUGGGACUGAGAUACGGCCCAGACUCCUACGGGAGGCAGCAGUGGGGAAUAUUGCACAAUGGGCGCAAGCCUGAUGCAGCGACGCCGCGUGGGGGAUGAAGGCCUUCGGGUUGUAAACUCCUUUCGCUAGGGACGAAGCUUUGUUGUGACGGUACCUAGAUAAGAAGCACCGGCUAACUACGUGCCAGCAGCCGCGGUAAUACGUAGGGUGCGAGCGUUGUCCGGAAUUACUGGGCGUAAAGGGCUCGUAGGUGGUUUGUCGCGUCGUCUGUGAAAUUCUGGGGCUUAACUCCGGGCGUGCAGGCGAUACGGGCAUAACUUGAGUGCUGUAGGGGUAACUGGAAUUCCUGGUGUAGCGGUGAAAUGCGCAGAUAUCAGGAGGAACACCGAUGGCGAAGGCAGGUUACUGGGCAGUUACUGACGCUGAGGAGCGAAAGCAUGGGUAGCGAACAGGAUUAGAUACCCUGGUAGUCCAUGCCGUAAACGGUGGGCGCUAGGUGUGAGGGUCUUUCUACGACUUUCGUGCCGUAGCUAACGCAUUAAG
rnacentral:rRNA from 1 species